rnacentral:lncRNA from 1 species
GUGAGAACAGUGCCCCUUGAACUCUUCAAGGUUUCCUCCGUAGUGACCAACAUGUUGACCAGUUCGGAUAUAAUGCAGUCAAGUUUGUUCAUAUAAAAAUUUAUAAUAAAUUGACUAUAUGAACUUGUAAAGGAUUGAAGGAUCAAAUCCAUCUGUAAUUUCUUUUGCAUAUCCAACCUAAGCUUCCCAAGCUCCUCAAUAUCCU